rnacentral:rRNA from 1 species
CUGACGCAGCGACGCCGCGUGACUGAUGACGUCUUUCGGGAUGUAAAGGUCUUUUUUGGGGGAAGAAGGAUGUGACGGUACCCCAAGAAUAAGCCCCGGCUAACUACGUGCCAGCAGCCGCGGUAAUACGUAGGGGGCGAGCGUUGUCCGAAUUUACUGGGCGUAAAGCGCGCGUAGGCGGGUCUGUAAGUCGGGGGUGAAAUGCCGAGGCUCAACCUCGGAACUGCCUUCGAAACUGUGGGCCUUGAGGUUUGGAGAGGGAAGUGGAAUUCCUGGUGUAGCGGUGAAAUGCGUAGAUAUCAGGAGGAACACCUGUGGCGAAGGCGGCUUCCUGGCCAUAUCCUGACGCUGAGGUGCGAAAGCUAGGGGAGCGAACGGGAUUAGAUACCCCGGUAGUCCUAGCCGUAAACGAUGGAUACUAGGUGUUAGAGGUAUCGACCCCUCUAGUGCCGGAGCUAACGCAUUAAGUAUCCCGCCUGGGGAGUACGACCGCAAGGUUGAAACUCAAAGGAAUUGACGGGGGCCCGCACAAGCGGUGGAGCAUGUGGUUUAAUACGUCACUAACCGUAGAACCUUACCCAGGCUUGACAUCUGGUGUAAGUGCCUGAAAGGGUUACCCCUGUAUGGAAACAUACAGCACCAAGACAGGUGUUGCAUGGCUGUCGUCAGCUCGUGUCGUGAGAUGUUGGGUUAAGUCCCGCAACGAGCGCAACCCUCAUCCGAUGUUGCCAGCGUAAAGUCG